rnacentral:lncRNA from 1 species
UUAUGACAUCACAUACUACAUGUGUCUUUCUGACUGUAAAGCUUCUUUCUCUCUCUCCAUGCUCCUCUUUAUUCAGACUGCAGCUCUCACCACUCUUGAUAUCACAUGAGAGCAUCCAGCAGUACUUGGGUGCUUGGGAACAGAAGAAGAGUAGGAAAAAUGCACUUGUCCCUGCACAUUCAGUGAUAAUUUGAGUAUUAGGUGGUGAUAAAGGCUACAGUCUUCUUCAGGAGUACUGUAAGUACUUGCAGUCUAAUAAUUUUUAAUGCAUUUCACUUUUAAAUAGCCUUUUACAAUUGGGCAUCACCGUGUCCUGUGAAUUUAAUAAUAUUGAAUUUAAUACUGAGGAUUUCUCACUUCUUCCUCUCUUGGAAAGACAUUACUGUUCUUUUAUAUCUUUUUCAUAACAUUCCUGUUUCAUCUCCAGUCCAUAAGUCCUAAUCUAUUCAGUAAUUGUACAGAAGUAGUUUUAUACCUCCGGUCAUCCUUUUCUUCCUUCUCUGUGUUGUUCUUGGUUCUGCUACUUUUCCAUGACACAGAUGUGAUCAAAAUAAUCCAGGUAGCAUUCAAGAUGUGGACUUUCUCAAAAUUGGAUUGUAAUUUUUGUCUCAUUUUCUAGAUUUCUCACCACCAUUUCAGCACCAGAUACGUGUUUGUAAACUGUUGAACAAUUAGAAGAUGAACAAUCCACAGUUACUCCAAAAUCCCUUCCCUGAACAACAGUAACAGGUUUGGUGUCCCUCAGGGUAUAUGAGCUGGCAGGAUAGUUUUCCUAUAGGAAUGUAAAGUAGAGAAGACUUCCCCAAAAUGGAAAAUAAAAUGUCAACAUCAAGAAAAGAGUUGUGAUCACAUGACGCAUCUCCAUUUCUGUUUUCCUUCCAGUAGUUUGACUUCUUUUCCUUAUGAAAGAACCACAAUCUGGUUACAAAAACUACAAAUGAUGCUGUAUAUCCUGCCUUUUUACAGAUACCUCAAAAAAGAUAAGCAUUUUUCAAAUUUUCAUCUGUGGAAAGGAUCUUCGUUUCAUCUUGCAGCUCAAACAUUUUGGGAGAGAGAGGAAGGGAAGGAAGAGGAGGACACCAGUAGUUCCCUUUCCAAGUCAUUUUCCAAAUACAGAUUUUAUUUUUUUGUACAUAAAAUUUUGAUCAACUUGUAGCAUCCAUUUUGCCUGAUGCUGACAGUCCUUUCUGCUUAUAUAAGGGAGAAAACUGAGAAUUAUGGGAUUUGUCUAGAGACAACUAUAGUCCUUCUGUGACCUUAUGUCUCUUCACUCUUCAGAAGCUCCUGGCUUUGGACAACACAAUGUUUUGGAGCAGGAAAGCAUAAGGAGAUGGAGUCCAUCUGCUAGUAACAACAGCUUCCUCUGAC